UGUGAGUGUGUGAGAGAGUGUGUGUGUGUCAGUAACACACACUCAUGUACUGUGCUGGUUUUCUCUCUGUCGGUGGAACAGUUGCUGGGAUUUGACACAGUGGCCGUGACUCUGGAGCCGCUGGAGGGAGCGGAGACGUACGUGAACGGGAAGCAGAUCACCGAGUGUGUGUUGCUCAAACAGGGCAACCGCAUCGUGAUGGGCAAGAGCCACGUGUUUAGGUUCAAUCACCCGGAGCAGGCGC